rnacentral:rRNA from 1 species
AUUGAACGCUGGCGGCACGCUUUACACAUGCAAGUCGAACGGCAGCGCGGGGCAACCUGGCGGCGAGUGGCGAACGGGUGAGUAAUAUAUCGGAACGUACCCAGAAGUGGGGGAUAACGUAGCGAAAGUUACGCUAAUACCGCAUACGAUCUACGGAUGAAAGUGGGGGACCUUCGGGCCUCAUGCUUGUGGAGCGGCCGAUAUCUGAUUAGCUAGUUGGUAGGGUAAAGGCCUACCAAGGCGACGAUCAGUAGCUGGUCUGAGAGGACGACCAGCCACACUGGGACUGAGACACGGCCCAGACUCCUACGGGAGGCAGCAGUGGGGAAUUUUGGACAAUGGGCGCAAGCCUGAUCCAGCAAUGCCGCGUGAGUGAAGAAGGCCUUCGGGUUGUAAAGCUCUUUUGUCAGGGAAGAAACGGGACUGGAUAAUACCUGGUCCUAAUGACGGUACCUGAAGAAUAAGCACCGGCUAACUACGUGCCAGCAGCCGCCGUAA